rnacentral:rRNA from 1 species
GUUAGGAAUAUUGGACAAUGGGCGCAAGCCUGAUCCAGCCAUGCCGCGUGAGUGAUGAUGGCCUUCGGGUUGUAAAGCUCUUUAGUCCACGAAUAUAAUGACUGUAGUGGAAGAAUAAGCCCCGGCUAACUUCGUGCCAGCAGCCGCGGUAAUACGAAGGGGGCGAGCGUUAUUCGGAAUCACUGGGCGUAAAGCGUGCGUAGGCUGUUUUGUAAGUCAGAAGUGAAAGCCCAGGGCUUAACCCUGGAAUUGCUUUUGAAACUACAAGACUCGAAUUCGGGAGAGGAUAGCGGAAUUGUCAGUGUAGCAGUGAAAUGCGUAGAUAUUGACAGGAACACCAGUGGCGCAAGCGGCUAUCUGGACCGAUAUUGACGCUGAGGCACGAAAGCGUGGGGAGCAAACAGGAUUAGAUACCCGAGUAGUCC